UUUCUCUUGCUCUCUCUCUCUCUCUCUCUCUCUUUCUCUCGCUCUGGUUGUCGCAUAUUACCAGUCUAUUACUGAAAUGGUUACUCAUCUCUCUGCUGUGCGUACGCUAUAUGGCCAAAAGUAUGUGCACCCCUGACCAUCACACAAACUCUGAAGCACACAGUUGUAUAGAACGUCUCCGUGUGCUGUAGCUUUACAGUUUCCCUUCACUGGAACUAAGAGACUGAAACCUGUUCCAGCAUGACAAUGCCCCUGUGCACAAAGCGAGCUCCAUGAAGACAUGGUGUGUGAAGGUUGGAGUGGAAGAACUCGAGUGUCCUGCACAGAGCCCUGACCUCAACCCCACUGAACAUCUUUGGGAUGAACUGGAACACCGACUGAACCCCAGACCUCCUCGACAUCCCAACAUCAGCGCCUGACCUCACUAAUGCUCUUGUAGCUGAAUGAACACAAAUCCCCACAGCCACGCUCCAACAUCUAGUGGAAAGCUUCCCAGAAGAGUGGAGCUCAUUAUAACAGCAAACACACGGGAAUAAAUCUGGAAUGGUUCCAUAAAUCUCUUCUCAGUGCAGUGAGAAAGAAAUUCACAGUGAAUCACAUUCAAUUAAAACUCAUGAAACUCACCAAAACAGGCAGUAAAGUGAUGAAACAGUCGACUAAACCAAGUGAUGGAAAAUACACACACCACGACAUACAAACACCAAACCACUAUAAAAUAAUAAAAAGCAGUUAAAAUAUAAUUAACAAAACAAUGGUUGAAAUGGUUCAAAACUAUACAUUUACAUAAAUCAUUUAAGAGACUAUUAGAUUAGACACAAUUAGAGACUAAUUAAAUUAAAUUAUAUUAGAUAAGAGACGGUUAGAUUAGAGAUGAGUAGAUUAGAUAGAGGUAGUGUGCAUUGUGUACAUGGAUGUGCUGCAGUGGGAAGCGAGGGAUGGAUGGAGGGUUUUGUACAUAAUCUGACUAACUGCAGUGGUGAAGAGGAUGGAUGCUGAAACAUCGGUCAGCCCAGUGACUGAGGAACAGCCUGGUGAAGUGCGAAGAACAGUCUGAGGAACAGCCUGGUGAAGUGCGAAGAACAGUCUGAGGAACAGCCUGAUGAAGUGCGAUGAACAGUCUGAGGAACAGCCUGAUGAAGUGCGAUGAACAGUCUGAGGAACAGCCUGAUGAAGUGCGAUGAACAGUCUGAGGAACAGCCUGAUGAAGUGCGAUGAAAACUGAGGAACAGCCUGAUGAAGUGCGAUGAACAGUCUGAGGAACAGCCUGAUGAAGUGCGAUGAACAGUCUGAGGAACAGUCUGAUGAAGUGCGAUGAACAGUCUGAGGAACAGCCUGAUGAAGUGCGAUGAAAACUGAGGAACAGCCUGAUGAAGUGCGAUGAACAGUCUGAUGAAGUGCGAUGAACAGUCUGAGGAACAGCCUGAUGAAGUGCGAUGAAAACUGAGGAACAGCCUGAUGAAGUGCGAUGAACAGUCUGAGGAACAGCCUGAUGAAGUGCGAUGAACAGUCUGAGGAACAGCCUGAUGAAGUGCGAUGAACAGUCUGAGGAACAGCCUGAUGAAGUGCGAUGAACAGUCUGAGGAACAAACACAGCUGAAAGUCACAGUGUUACAGAAGAAAUGAGAACAUAUGUAUGGAUUAUGAAGAGACCAGGGCAGAGAAGAGAACCUUGUGGAACAUCUCAAUCACACCACUGAUCUCCAAACCAGCCAUAUAUAUACAUAUAAUGUAGGUAUAAUUUAUGCAAAAUAUAUAUAAUGUAUGUGUGAUGUAUACACUCCCUUGACACUUUAUUAGGAACACCUGUACACCUACUCAUUCAUGCAGUUAUCAGCCAUCGUAUGACAGCAGUGCACUGCAUAAAACCAUGCAGAUUCGGACAGCAGCUUCAGGUAACGUUCACAUCAACCAUCAGAACGGGUGAAAAAGCCUUGUUGAUGAGAGAGGACAACGGAGAAUGGCCAGGCAGGUUUGAGCUGAUAGUAAGGCUACAGUAACUUAGAUAACUACUCUGUAUAAUCUGUGGUGAGCAGAAAAGCAUCUCAGAAUGCACAACAUGUCGAACCCUGAGGCGGAUGGGCUACAACAGCAGAAGACCAUAUCGGGUUCCGCUUCUGUCAACCAUGAACAGAAAGCUGAGGCUGCAGUGGGCACAGACUCACCAACACUGGACAGGUGAAGACUGGAGAAACAUGGCCUGGUCUGAAGAAUCAGGAUUUCUGCUGAUGCUCUCAGAUGGUAGGGGCCAUCCAUGGACCCAGUCUGCCUUGUGUAACCAGUGCAGGCUGGUGGAGGUGGUGUGAUGGUGUGGGGAAUGUUUUCUUACCAAUCAGUUAUGGCUUGAAUGCCACAGCGCAUUUGAGUAUUGUUGCUGACCAUGUGCAUCCCUUCAUAGCCACAAUUUACCAUCUUCUAAUGCCUGCUUCCAGCAUGAUAAUGCACCAUGUCACAAAGCAAAAGUCUCAACCUGGUUUCAUGAACAAGACGAUGAGUUCAGGGUUCUUCAGUGGCCAUCCCAGUCACUGGAUCUGAAUCCAGUAGAACACCUUUGGGAUGCGGUAGAACAGGAGACUCGCAGCAUGAAAGUUGAGCUGAAAAAUCUGCAGAAAUUGCGUGGUGAGAUCAUCUCAACAUGGAGCAGAAUCUCAAAGGAAUGCUUCCAACAUCUUGUGGAAUCCAUGCCAUGAAGAAUUGAGGCUGUUUUGAGAGCAAAGCGAGAUGAUAUCCAGGAUUAGUAUAGUGUUCCUAAUACAGUGCUCAGUGAGUGUGUGUAACGUAUGCAUUAGGUUUGUAAUGAUCUUUACACAGAUAUGAGCUAAUGUACAUGUGUGUUCCUGCCACUGGGGGGUGACAAAACUCCAUCUUCAAGAAAUGAAGACGAGACCCUAAUGAAGGAACGAUAAAGGAAGAAAUUGAAGGAAGUAAAAAGAUAUGAACAGAGAGAGAACUGAAGAAAAGAGAAUGGAAGCAGAGUCAUUGAGAGCGCGCCGAAACACGCCUGUUGUAGAAAUGAAGCAAAGCCUCGUCAAGUCUGCCUGUCGUCCGAGUCCUCCUUCCAACCCACCUUCAUGCAUACCAGGUUCUACAACUACAUUGUGCACCAUAUGUACACCAGUUGAACAUGUGGCACUCGGAUACCUGCUUUCUGUAGAGGUUCACUUCACCGAUACGCUAAGUAAAGCAUGUAAAUAUGGCGCUCACAUAUCACUUUUUUAAUACCGGAUCAGCGUCAGGAACAGACUGAGGGUCGUGCUCCCCCGCCUAGAGUCCUGCUAGCCAACAUUCAGUCUCUGGAGAACAAGCUCAACAACCUCAAGGCCAGGGUUAAGUUCCAGAGGGACUUUCAGGACUGCAGCCUCCUCUGCUUCACAGAGACCUGGCUGAACCCAGAGGUACCGGACCACACCAUCCAGCCGGCUGAGUUCUUCUCGGUUUACCGCAUGGACAGGACAAUGGAGUUGGGGAAGUCAAGUGGAGGUGGAAGGUGUCUGAUGGUAAACAGCAGCUGGUGCGACAGCAGGAACAUUGUUCCUCUCACAUGGUCCUGCACACACAACCCGGAGCUGCUGACCAUCAAAUGCUGUCCUUUUCCUCGGGAAUUUACCUCGGUCAUAGUCAGUGCUGUUUAUAUUUCAUCUCAGGCGGAGAUGGACACUGCCUUAUGUGAACUACAUGAAGCUCUCUCUCACCAAACUCAUCACCAGGAUGCUGCGCUCACUGUGGCAGGGAACA